rnacentral:rRNA from 1 species
GGCUUAGAGUUUGAUCAUGGCUCAGGAUGAACGCUAGCUACAGGCUUAACACAUGCAAGUCGAGGGGCAGCAUGAACUUAGCUUGCUAAGUUUGAUGGCGACCGGCGCACGGGUGAGUAACACGUAUCCAACCUGCCGAUGACUCGGGGAUAGCCUUUCGAAAGAAAGAUUAAUACCCGAUGGCAUAGUUCUUCCGCAUGGUGGAACUAUUAAAGAAUUUCGGUCAUCGAUGGGGAUGCGUUCCAUUAGGUUGUUGGCGGGGUAACGGCCCACCAAGCCUUCGAUGGAUAGGGGUUCUGAGAGGAAGGUCCCCCACAUUGGAACUGAGACACGGUCCAAACUCCUACGGGAGGCAGCAGUGAGGAAUAUUGGUCAAUGGACGAGAGUCUGAACCAGCCAAGUAGCGUGAAGGAUGACUGCCCUAUGGGUUGUAAACUUCUUUUAUACGGGAAUAAAGUGAGGCACGUGUGCCUUUUUGUAUGUACCGUAUGAAUAAGGAUCGGCUAACUCCGUGCCAGCAGCCGCGGUAAUACGGAGGAUCCGAGCGUUAUCCGGAUUUAUUGGGUUUAAAGGGAGCGUAGGCGGACGCUUAAGUCAGUUGUGAAAGUUUGCGGCUCAACCGUAAAAUUGCAGUUGAUACUGGGUGUCUUGAGUACAGUAGAGGCAGGCGGAAUUCGUGGUGUAGCGGUGAAAUGCUUAGAUAUCACGAAGAACUCCGAUUGCGAAGCAGCUUGCUGGACUGUAACUGACGCUGAUGCUCGAAAGUGUGGGUAUCAAACAGGAUUAGAUACCCUAGUAGUCCACACAGUAAACGAUGAAUACUCGCUGUUUGCGAUAUACAGUAAGCGGCCAAGCGAAAGCGUUAAGUAUUC